GAAUAGGUCAUUUUUUCUAAUUUUUUUUGAACCUAUUUAGGUUAGUUUAGGUUAGGUUAGAGUGGCUGUCCUGGGGUGGGACUCACUUAGACCAUAGGGUCCGUUGUGAUACCGUAAAAGGGCUGGCCCAUCCCCGACCACUACUCCUUGACCCAUUUGGAGCUGUUUUAGAACAGCUGGAGGGCUUAGACGUCGACUGA